UUCCAGGUGCUGUAGUGAUUAACAUGCCCGUCUAGCAAACGGGAGAUCUCAGGUUCGAUUCCUUACCGGGACA
rnacentral:tRNA from 1 species